rnacentral:rRNA from 1 species
AACGAACGCUGGCGGCAGGCCUAACACAUGCAAGUCGAGCGAGGACUUCGGUCCUAGCGGCGGACGGGUGAGUAACGCGUGGGAACGUGCCCUUUGCUUCGGAAUAGCCCUGGGAAACUGGGAGUAAUACCGGAUGAGCCCUUUGGGGGAAAGAUUUAUCGGCGAAGGAUCGGCCCGCGUUGGAUUAGGUAGUUGGUGUGGUAAUGGCCUACCAAGCCGACGAUCCAUAGCUGGUUUGAGAGGAUGAUCAGCCACACUGGGACUGAGACACGGCCCAGACUCCUACGGGAGGCAGCAGUGGGGAAUCUUAGACAAUGGGGGAAACCCUGAUCUAGCCAUGCCGCGUGAGCGAUGAAGGCCUUAGGGUUGUAAAGCUCUUUCAGCUGGGAAGAUAAUGACGGUACCAGCAGAAGAAGCCCCGGCUAACUCCGUG